rnacentral:rRNA from 1 species
GACGAACGCUGGCGGCGUGCCUAAUACAUGCAAGUUGAGCGCUGAAGGUUGGUACUUGUACCAACUGGAUGAGCAGCGAACGGGUGAGUAACGCGUGGGGAAUCUGCCUUUGAGCGGGGGACAACAUUUGGAAACGAAUGCUAAUACCGCAUAAAAACUUUAAACACAAGUUUUAAGUUUGAAAGAUGCAAUUGCAUCACUCAAAGAUGAUCCCGCGUUGUAUUAGCUAGUUGGUGAGGUAAAGGCUCACCAAGGCGAUGAUACAUAGCCGACCUGAGAGGGUGAUCGGCCACAUUGGGACUGAGACACGGCCCAAACUCCUACGGGAGGCAGCAGUAGGGAAUCUUCGGCAAUGGACGAAAGUCUGACCGAGCAACGCCGCGUGAGUGAAGAAGGUUUUAGGAUCGUAAAACUCUGUUGGUAGAGAAGAACGUUGGUGAGAGUGGAAAGCUCAUCAAGUGACGGUAACUACCCAGAAAGGGACGGCUAACUACGUG